GGUAAACACACCUUGAUCGGGAAAACUGAAUGAAUAUUCCAAUCUUUAGCGUUGCCUCGUCAAAGCUAUACAAAGCAGACAAUUUCAAUGCUGGCAAUUGUGUGAGAACCGGGUGAAAGUCGUCUAUUACUGUGGACUGCAGUGAGGUUAAACGCACAACUUGCUCCAAGGUGCUGUGCGGAGCUCCGGGUUGAAUUUCAGAUAGACGUUCGUGGGAAGAGACCGUAGCCCUCAAGACAGACUGGUGUAAACAGGAAGACCACAGGGAUACUGGACCCGCGUUUAAGUUCCUUGGCCGCCGCUCUUUUCUGUAUCUUAUAUUUCCCCUAUAUAAUGUUAUUGUACAGGGGCGUAAUUUCCUGCUCCGUUUAAAGCAUGGUUGCUGCAACUCUGGUGCUGACCAAAGUCAUCAUAAUCAAUAAAAUAUGUGAUGUAAA